rnacentral:lncRNA from 1 species
UCCAACUCUUUUUCCACAUAACCCAAUUUUCCUAUGUUAAUCUCAAAAACCAAUAAAAUCCUUUUAAUUAUUUAUCUCUCAGAUCUCAAAGCAUACCAUCCUAAUUGCACGGAUCCCAAAGCUCCAUUCACUCAUCACUCUCACCAUUCCAAAGAUCCCCUAUUCCCAGCUAAUGGAUAAAGCCCAGGCUUCCUCACGCUCCCGGGUCUUCGAGCCGUGAGCGUUUCUUCUUCGACUUCCCUUCACGAAAACAAGGAGCAGUUCCCUUUCAUCCCGAGAUCCCAACUUCCUCCCAACCUCCGAAUCCGAACUCCACCCCAUCCUGUUUCUUCCACGCCGUUCCAUCCUUAUCCGAAUCUCCCAACGUCCCAGCUAUUCUGCUCCACGGUUCAUGCGUGCAACCCGAGUCGGCCACGUCCUGCAUCUUCCCCUGUUCCAUCUUUAUCUCAUGGAUCUUCCCAGCAUCUUCCUAACCUUCCACGACAUUCCUUCUCCGAAGCUUCUCCAGCUAGAUCCCCUCCACGGAUGAACAUCUCCCAGUGUCCAGCUUCAUCUUCCCGAGAUCCCAACUCCAAGCGCCCACAUCUUCGGUAGUCCAAAGAACGAAUCCAAACCUCCACGAACAGAGUACGUCCGCAUGGAUCCAGGUUCCAUCUCCUCCCAUGUCCGGAUACUCCGUGAUCCAACUCCAGCCUCCGAGAUCCUCUCAAACCAAUCCAGUCGUCCACCCUUCCUCUUGUUCCUGGAUAAGCUCCAACCCCCACAUCCACUCGCAUUCAAGCUUCACGUGUUCUUCCCCUGUUUCGNN